rnacentral:rRNA from 1 species
UAGGGAAUCUUCGGCAAUGGGCGAAAGCCUGAUGGAGCAACGCCGCGUGUGUGAUGAAGGCUUUAGGGUCGUAAAGCACUGUUGUAUGGGAAGAAAUGCUAGAAUAGGGAAUGAUUCUAGUUCGACGGUACCAUACCAGAAAGGGACGGCUAAAUACGUGCCAGCAGCCGCGGUAAUACGUAUGUCCCGAGCGUUAUCCGGAUUUAUUGGGCGUAAAGCGAGCGCAGACGGUUGAUUAAGUCUGAUGUGAAAGCCCGGAGCUCAACUCCGGAAUGGCAUUGGAAACUGGUUAACUUGAGUGUUGUAGAGGUAAGUGGAACUCCAUGUGUAGCGGUGGAAUGCGUAGAUAUAUGGAAGAACACCAGUGGCGAAGGCGGCUUACUGGACAACAACUGACGUUGAGGCUCGAAAGUGUGGGUAGCAAACAGGAUUAGAUACCCUGGUAGUCCACACCGUAAACGAUGAAUACUAGGUGUUAGGAGGUUUCCGCCUCUUAGUGCCGAAGCUAACGCAUUAAGUAUUCCGCCUGGGGAGUACGACCGCAAGGUU